GAAGGUAUAGCUCAGUGGUAGAGUGGGUACUUAGUAUGCACGAGGUCCUGGGUUCAACCCCCAGUACCUCG
rnacentral:tRNA from 1 species